rnacentral:rRNA from 1 species
UACGUAGGGUGCAAGCGUUAAUCGGAAUUACUGGGCGUAAAGUGUGCGCAGGCGGCGGAGCAAGUCGAGUGUGAAAGCCCCGAGCUUAACUUGGGAAUUGCGCUCGAAACUACUUUGCUGGAGUGUGGCAGAGGAAGGUGGAAUUCCAGGUGUAGCGGUGAAAUGCGUAGAGAUCUGGAGGAACACCGAUGGCGAAGGCAGCCUUCUGGGCCAACACUGACGCUCAUGCACGAAAGCGUGGGGAGCAAACAGG